UUUCUGGCACAAGGGUACGAACCCAUUUUGCAAGGCCUAAUUGGAAGAAGGUUCUCUCUAAAUUAUGUUCCAAGCACUGUAAUGCAAGGAUUGGAGUUUUUUACUGUGGUGCACCUGUCUUGGCUAAAGAACUCAGCAAACUCUGCUUUGAGUUCAAUCAAAAAGGUUCCACCAAGUUUGAGUUCCACAAAGAACAUUUCUAAAUAGUAAUGAGACGAUUGUGGUGUACAUAUAUAACUAUCGUUCACAGCCCCUUCUCUCCUUAACACCUAAACACCUCCCUGCACAAAAAGAAUUUCUGAAGCAUUGUACAGUCUUGGGUGGAAAAGGGUAGAAAAGGGAAGGAAAAAUUAGAUACAGAUAUACAUAAAUAUGUAUUCGGUAGUGUAAGUGUACAGUAAACCAAGCACAGCCUGAAAAAUUAUUGUGGCUGAUGAGAUGGCCAGGAGUUUCAAUGAUAACUCAUUGCUAGUUUAGUGGGUAGUGGCUAAAGCGAUUGCAGUGAAGCAGAGUGCGUUACAGCUACAAUCGAGAGAUUGACAUAAUUGACAAGGAGAUGGCCAUGCAUGAUUGGUAGACAUCCAUAGGUGGAUAGAAGAAAGUUUUGAAAGUGAGAGACUUUGAGGUAGGUCUCUGUACUCUGGAGAUGGGGACUAAUUAGAUGGCUAUGUCCUUCGAUUUUUACAUAUUUUUUUUUUUUAAUUGAAGUGGGGUUAGAGAAUCCUUCUGGAAUGUCAAUGCUGGCGCCAAUCAAAUCCACUCGCAAUUAUCUUUAGUUACUUGACUAGAAUAAGCAAAUCAUGUAAAUGAUAUACUUUUGUCUUAUACUUUUUUUUUUUUUUUUACCAAUGGUAUCCCUAAAUAUUCCAUUCAAAAACUAAUAAUAUUUCUCUCUCGAACAUCUUCCUGACCAAGAUUGGGGGAAAAAAA
rnacentral:misc_RNA from 1 species